rnacentral:lncRNA from 10 species
GUACCAUCCACAAAUACAACCCUUCCAUUUACUUCUAGGUUUUGUUUGAACCCUUAUGUAUUAAGACAGACAGAGACAGGGAGAGGGUAGAGAAAAGCAAUUGUUAUUCAGAAUUGAAUAAUGCUUCUAACAAUCUAGAACUUCAAAUUGUUUUUACCCCAAUCUGAGAUGAUUAACUCAAAGCAGUCCCGACAUUUAUCAGAUGGUUAUGAAAAGAAAGCAAAACUGGUCAUGACCAAAAGGCCCAUUUCUGCAGAAGUUCACAUUCAGUACACCCAGUCGGUAGCCCCCCGGGAGUUGAGGAGAAAAGAGGAGGUCUGUAAUGCAGCUGCCACACGGCGAUCAGGCCCAUCAGAGGGCUGCUGAAGCUGAUCUGGUGUCCAGAUAAACGUGGCAUUCAUGCUAGCCAUCUGUCCACAGGCACAGAAACCGGGAAGAUGAAGAAAAUGUUUCGUGAUCCUAAGAAUUUUCCAGUUCAAUUCAGAAGAUAAAUGCCUUAAAGAAUUAUAAAGAAAAUUAAAUAGGAAGAGAACUACAGUAAAUCAGUAAUAAGCAGUAAGUAAAACAGAAGUAAAAAUCAACAUGCUGAAGGAAUACGGAGAAAGGAAGGAGCAGGGAAGUGACACCUAUCAGGCAUACAUAGCUGUGUAGGGCACUUUAAAGACAUUGUUGCUUUUACUUUUGAUAUCUUCCUUCCAAGGUAGGAAUCAUUGUCCCUGUUUUGUAGUCCGGAAAGUUAAAUCACAGAAGGGUUGAGUGAAAAAUGCAGUGUCACACAGUAAAGGAAAAGCAGAUCUGGAAUUUGAAAUCGAGUCUAUCUGACUUCAAAACUUAUGCCAGUGGGAAUCCAUGGACAGCUUAUGGAGAAGAAGGCAUUAGAGCUGGAGAAACCACAAAGACCCACUUUGCUCCAGAAGGAGGGGACAGAUGAGGCAAAGACUGGGGGGAAGCUCUGGAGAUGAGGACACACCCUCAGGAAAAGCCAGAGAUGCGAUGCGCUGGAAACAGGCUGGACACUGGGAAAUGUAGACAUGCAGGACACUGGCUGCCACGCACAUUGUGGAGGGCCUUGAUGCUACACCAAGGAAUUGGACUUGAUGCUGUAAGGGCUGAGGACCUAUUGGAAUGGAAUCCCAGAGUCCAGGACUGAGUUUGGUCUUUAAGUGCAGUCAUGUCCAGGGCUAUCUGGACAGCUGAUGGGAUAGACCCAGAGGGAUCUAUGUGCAAUAAUCUCCUCAAAUGGGCCAUGAUGAAACCCUUGGGAGCUCACCCUCAGAUAUGACUGUAAGGAGCAGGAACACCACUAGUCCCCAAGUGGUGUACGUGGCUGGGUAAGGACCCUCACUGGGUGGAGGUGAGGCAGGCACAGGACUCAGAUGGGACAACACUUGGAAAACAAAGGAGAGACCAUUAAGUAUAUCAUAAAGGGCUGACAUUUAAAGUUUCUUCUGGUCCAGAUCCCUGGACUAACAUCUUUGGGAGGGGGCCGUGAUGAAACCCAGUCACUUUCACACCUGGGGCAACCAAGUUUCUCCGUGAAUGCAAAGGCAGGAUGUGAUGAAGCUCUAUGGCCUCAAAAUUGUUACUUUCCAGGUAAGAAAGGUACGUUCAUCAUAUUUUACUAUGUGGUCCACUGGAAGUGGGAAGGGGAAAGGACUUGUCGUGGGAAUAAAAGGCACACGCAGGACACCCAGACACUUUCAGAGAACUUGAAGACAGUUAUCAUAGCGGGACUAUAGGUGCACACAUUGUGGAGGGCCUUGAAUGCCACACUUAAUUCUGUGAGCACUGGGGAUUCAUUGUGAAAAGACCACAGAUGGAUGUGGAUGACAAACACUGCUGAUUUUAAGGAGGGGUUCAAGAGCUACACAUGGAAAGGAUGUGGUUCCAAGUAAGUCAAGGUAUCCCCAAGUGUGGUCUACAGGUUCCUAGUGGCUCCCAGUGGCCUCACAAGUGGUCUGCAGGUGGUGGAAUUGUUUCAAGUGAAAGCAUGAUGAAACAACCGUGUUCGUAUGCAUUUCACAAAUUUGCAAUGUAAGAUUAAUGUAAUUUUUCCAAGAAAUCUCUUCCAUAAUUACUACAUGCUUUACAGUUUUACAUGUACUAUAGGGAUUAUGUUGUCAGUUCACCUAAGGUACUCUGUUAAUAGGAUAUCUUACCUAUUGUUUCUUCAUCUCAUUGCACACACUUGUACAUUUUGGGAAAUAUAUAUAGUACUGUGCUGUUGCUAUUGUUUUGUUGUAUGCUAAUGAGAACACUGGUGGCUGGCAGCCCCUAGGAGGCUUCUGAAUGUGGCUGGUCACUUUCAGCCCCACCUCCUAACAUCUGGGGAGGGAAGAGGGGCGGAAGGUUGAGUUGAUCACCAACGGCUAAAUAUGUAAUCAAUCAUGCCUAUGUAAUAAAGCUUUUAUAAAAACUCAAAGGACUGGAUUCUGGAAAUGCCUGAGUUGAUGAACACACCAGUGUGCUGGGAGGUGGCACACCCCAGCUCCACGGGAACAGAAGCUCCUAUGCUCAGGACCCUCCAGACCUAGCUCAGUAAAUCUCUGCAUUUGGCUGUUCAUCUGCUUCCUUCAUUACAUCUUGUAUUAAUAAACCAGUAAAUGUAAGUAAAGUGUUUCCCCGAGUUCUGUGAGCCACUCUAAUAAAUUAAUCGAAUCCAAAGAGGGGGUUGUGGAAACCAAAAUUUAUAGCCAAUUGUUCAGAAAU